rnacentral:rRNA from 1 species
ACGGGCUCUUCGGAGCUAGUGGCGGACGGGUGAGGAACGCGUGAGAACCUGCCUCAAGGUCGGGGACAACAGUUGGAAACGACUGCUAAUACCGGAUGAGCCGAAUAGGUAAAAGAUUUAUCGCCUAGAGAGGGGCUCGCGUCUGAUUAGCUAGAUGGUGAGGUAAAGGCUUACCAUGGCGACGAUCAGUAGCUGGUCUGAGAGGAUGAGCAGCCACACUGGGACUGAGACACGGCCCAGACUCCUACGGGAGGCAGCAGUGGGGAAUUUUCCGCAAUGGGCGAAAGCCUGACGGAGCAAUACCGCGUGAGGGAGGAAGGCUCUUGGGUUGUAAACCUCAAAACUUAGGGAAGAAAAAAAUGACGGUACCUAAUGUAAGCAUCGGCUAACUCCGUGCCAGCAGCCGCGGUAAUACGGAGGAUGCAAGCGUUAUCCGGAAUCAUUGGGCGUAAAGAGUCCGUAGGUGGCACUUCAAGUCUGCUUUCAAAGACCGAAGCUCAACUUCGGAAAGGGAGUGGAAACUGAAGAGCUAGAGUAUAGUAGGGGUAGAGGGAAUUCCUAGUGUAGCGGUGAAAUGCGUAGAGAUUAGGAAGAACACCAGUGGCGAAGGCGCUCUACUGGGCAUAUACUGACACUGAGGGACGAAAGCUAGGGGAGCGAAAGGGAUUAGAUACCCCUGUAGUCCUAGCGGUAAACGAUGGAUACUAGGCGUAGUGCUGUUAGAAGGACUGUGCCGAAGCUAACGCGUUAAGUAUCCCGCCUGGGGAGUACGCACGCAAGUGUGAAACUCAAAGGAAUUGACGGGGACCCGCACAAGCGGUGGAGUAUGUGGUUUAAUUCGAUGCAACGCGAAGAACCUUACCAAGGCUUGACAUCCUGCGAAUCUUGGAGAAAUCUGAGAGUGCCUAAGGGAACGCAGAGACAGGUGGUGCAUGGCUGUCGUCAGCUCGUGUCGUGAGAUGUUGGGUUAAGUCCCGCAACGAGCGCAACCCUCGUCCUUAGUUGCCAGCAUUAAGUUGGGGACUCUAGGGAGACCGCCGGGGAGAACUCGGAGGAAGGUGGGGAUGACGUCAAGUCAGCAUGCCCCUUACGUCUUGGGCUACACACGUACUACAAUGGUUGGGACAAAGGGGAGCGAAACCGCGAGGUGGAGCGAAUCUCAUCAAACCCAGCCACAGUUCAGAUUGCAGGCUGAAACUCGCCUGCAUGAAGGAGGAAUCGCUAGUAAUCGCAGGUCAGCAUACUGCGGUGAAUCCGUUCCCGGGUCUUGUACACACCGCCCGUCACACCAUGGAAGUUGGUCACGCCCGAAGUCGUUAUUCUAACCCAAGUGGAAGGAGACGCCGAAGGUGGGACUAGUGACUGGGGUGAAGUCGUAACAAGGUAGCCGUACCGGAAGGUGUGGCUGGAUCACCUCCUUUAAGGGAGACUUCGAGAAGAAGUCAGCAAGGAAAUGGGGAGGGCUAGAAAAAUAAAGAAAGAGGUGUUGGGGCUAUUAGCUCAGGUGGUUAGAGCGCACCCCUGAUAAGGGUGAGGUCCCUGGUUCAAGUCCAGGAUGGCCCAUUGGGGGUAUAGCUCAGUUGGUAGAGCGCCUGCUUUGCAAGCAGGAUGUCAGCGGUUCGAGUCCGCUUACCUCCAGAAGAACGAGUUUAGCACGGUGAGGUGUCACUACUGCUGAACAAAAAGUUCAGUGAGAACCUUGAAAACUGCAUAGAAAAAUAGGAAGAU